AGCCGUUAAAGGCUCAGGCUCACAACCAAAAAGACAAGAGUUCGGUUCCCAGCACCC
rnacentral:snRNA from 2 species